rnacentral:rRNA from 1 species
AAUGAACGUUGGCGGCGUGGAUUAGGCAUGCAAGUCGAGCGAGAACCCCGCAGGGGGGGACAGCGGCAAACGGCGUAGUAAGGCGUAGGUACGUGCCCCCGGGUCUGGGAUAGCCAAGGGAAACUUUGGGUAAUACCGGAUAUUCUCGAGAGAGCAAAGGUGUGACUCCGCCUGGGGAGUGGCUUACGUGGUAUUAGCUUGUUGGUGAGGUAACGGCUCACCAAGGCAACGAUGCCUAGGGGGUGUGAGAGCACGACCCCCACGACUGGGACUGAGAUACUGCCCAGACACCUACGGGUGGCUGCAGUCGAGAAUCUUCGGCAAUGGGCGCAAGCCUGACCGAGCGACGCCGCGUGUGGGAUGAAGGCCCUUGGGUUGUAAACCACUGUCAGAGGGGAUGAAGUGCACGGGGGUACUCCCUCGUGUUUGACAUAGCCUCAGAGGAAGCACGGGCUAAGUUCGUGCCAGCCGCCGCCGUAA